GUGGGGAAUAUUGGACAAUGGGCGAAAGCCUGAUCCAGCCAUGCCGCGUGUGUGAAGAAGGUCUUCGGAUUGUAAAGCACUUUAAGUUGGGAGGAAGGGCAGUAAGUUAAUACCUUGCUGUUUUGACGUUACCAACAGAAUAAGCACCGGCUAACUUCGUGCCAGCAGCCGCGGUAAUACGAAGGGUGCAAGCGUUAAUCGGAAUUACUGGGCGUAAAGCGCGCGUAGGUGGUUCGUUAAGUUGGAUGUGAAAGCCCCGGGCUCAACCUGGGAACUGCAUCCAAAACUGGCGAGCUAGAGUAUGGCAGAGGGUGGUGGAAUUUCCUGUGUAGCGGUGAAAUGCGUAGAUAUAGGAAGGAACACCAGUGGCGAAGGCGACCACCUGGGCUAAUACUGACACUGAGGUGCGAAAGCGUGGGGAGCAAACAGGAUUAGAAACCCCAGUAGUCC
rnacentral:rRNA from 2 species